UUUCGAUAGUGAGGGGACGCAAUCAGUCGUUGUUGUAGAAUAUAAUUAUCAUCUAAUGUCUAAUUUCUGUGUAUGAUUCAAUAAUUGGUCGAAUUAAGGAAAAAAAGUGUGGGUAUGUUGAUGUCCUCUCAUUGUAUUUAGUAUUUACAAUCAUGGUUACGUAGUGUGCCUGUGACUGCCGGGGAUAUUCUGCACACUCAAUGCAUAAAUCAUUAACAAGAAAGAAAAAAUAUCAACAAAUGACAGCCGUGAUAAUGUACAUAAUUAGAGAACAAGUCCUUAUAAAAUGCUGUUCUCAUGAAUGAGUAAUGGAAAUUACCAAUGUGAUAAGUGAUGAAGUGGGAAGGAGAAGAACAGGAAACACAUUUGGUAACAAGGCGUCCGAUACAUCUUAAAAACACAUAUUUUUUCGAAAUACAUCCCUCACUGUGAAAGGAAAGUGAGACCAACACUCGAAAAUACCAGUGCUAUACAUGAUUCAUGAAUUGGGCAGUACAAUAUCGAUGUGCAAACUAGUAAUGGGCACGAGAAGGAAAGCUGUAGAUGCCACAAGUGGUAUUUUCCACCUAUCCAUAAAAAGGAUCUUUUCGAAAUGAACUCCACAAUGGUAAGGAGGAACAGUAAUAUGUGAUAUCAUACAAAAAAAACGAUGAUGUACUAGCCAGAAGAACAGUGAUACGCAGGGAAACAAUGGGAUGAGAGUAGAAAAGCAGUAGGUGGCAUCUGGUACCCAAUUCAUCCCACCUCGCCGCGUGAGUGGUGCUCGGAGUAGCGGCCGUGUCGUGCACCUUGGUACCUGCUUGCCAGGUGCCAGACUGCCAGCUGACAUUCCUCCUUCAACCACCGUCCCGUGAGCACUGGUGCACCGCCCAUCUUCUCCUCCCGGCAUCCGACUCUUACAUUCCCUUGGACCGUGGUGGUGGUGAGGUUCUGGUAACACGCACUCGCGCAAAAGGAAAGACAGAAAGACAAAAAAGAAAAAUUUGGAUCAUGAGACAAUAGGAGGAACGGUAAGAAGAAAAAAAGAAAAGAAAACAAACAAGUAGAUCGACCUAUCAAUGUGAAGCAGUGACUGACUGUUCUCUCCUUCACGACAGACCGUCACUUGCCAGAACUACCCAGGAUCAAUCGCGUCUCUCUUCUAUUGCACCCACAAACUGUGAAAGAUAAUAGCGACCGUCGUCUCAAUCGGUGUGUAAGACAUUUAUCUCUCUCUCUUUCUCUCGCCGGUAUUGACUCUUACCUGAUAAAGAAUGACCGAGGUGAUGACUAUGUCCGCACCAGCCGGGGUCAACCUGAGCACUUACACCUACACCUCAGCCCCCAGGAUCGUCCAGAACUCCCGCAAGAACUCUAACCGCUCAAGUACUGGUUCUGUGCUGGCCGUCGUGCGUGACUGGAGAACAAAUACCAAGCAUCGUGACGCACGUGGCAUGACGAGGAAAAACAGCAGCACGUGAAUAAGUUAUGAAUUAUGGUAAACGUGAAGCGUGCGUGUUGUUUCCAAGGAGUCAGGCUAAGUGGCAGGAAUACACUGGGUACUGGUCGUCAUCAUGGUAACACGGAGGAACAUUGAAGAAUAAGCUGCUCCUGACGAGACUGUAUGUGGUGACUUGAAAACUUUGAAACAUUGGAAAUAUUUAUUCAUGGUUAGGAUAUCAAAGUAAAAGUAGCUGCCUUUAUAUAAGCAUAGCGUUUUUCAAAUAAGAAAAUGAUCUUAGGUAGUAAAAGAGAGAGAGAGAGAGAGAGAGAGAGAGAGAGAGAGAGAGAGAGAGAAUGAGUGAGUGAGUCGGCAUCAAAAUAAUCAACAAUAUAAAUCUAAAGCACAGAAAACGAAAAAUUAGUUAACAAGUACAUUCAAAUAUAAAAUGUAUACGACAAGCUGUACUUUGUCUAAACUAAGAGGAGUAGAAAGCUGAAAACAAUCACUAUACUAUCAAAAGAAUGCCGUGACUUACCCAUGUCAGUUUAUUUAUUCAUCACGCCAUAUUUACAUCUACUAGACAGUCUGGGGAGUAGAGAAGCUUAAAAUCAAACUAAGAGCCGUGCCCUAAACGCUUUGCUAUCUCAUCAGGACUAUUUUCAAACGUUACAACGAUGAUUAGCUUAGUUUUCAUGCAUAUUUCUCAUCGAUGACUGCCGAAUCUUUUUUAUAAUACGAGUAUAUCUUGAAUCCUAAAUACAUCAAUAAGAAUU